UACGGAGGGUGCGAGCGUUGUUCGGAAUCACUGGGCGUAAAGGGCGUGUAGGCGGUCCGCUAAGUCUGAUGUGAAAGCCCGGGGCUCACCCCCGGAAGUGCAUUGGAAACUGGCGGACUCGAGUCCCGGAGAGGAGAGUGGAAUUCCUGGUGUAGCGGUGAAACGCGUAGAUAUCGGGAGGAACACCAGUGGCGAAGGCGGCGAUCUGGGAAGAUACUGACGCUGAGAGGCGAAAGCGUGGGGAGCAAACAGG
rnacentral:rRNA from 1 species